GUGGAUGUGAUGAUUAUUUCCCCAAAUGAUCGAAUCUGAAUUAACUGAGCGCACAAUUCAGGUUUCUUCUUUUGGUGAAAUUCAAGCCAGAAAUAUAAAUAUGAUCCAUCUUCAAAAUUGUGUUUUGUUUAAUUACAAAUAGUUGAUUUUUGUUAUGUGUUUUGAUAAUCAGAGAGUGAAAAUGAUGAUUAUUUCCCCAGAUGAUCGAAGUUGAUUAUACUAUGCGCAUUUAAUUAUAUUCUCUAUUACGUUAUAGAGAAUCCAAGCCAGAAUUCUGAUCCUAUCUCUGUUUAUGUUGAUAAAAAUAUGAGUUCCUCUGAUGAUGAUUCAAAUAAAAACUUUCGUUCUUCCGAGGAUGAUAUCCAUCUAUGCGGAAACGGUUAUUGGAGACUUGAACUGAAGAGGC
rnacentral:lncRNA from 1 species